rnacentral:snRNA from 1 species
GUGCUCGCUUCAGCAGCACAUAUACUAAAAUUGGAAUGAUACAGAGAAGAUUAGCACGGCCCCUGCGCGAGGAUGACAUGCAAAUUCGUGAAGGGUUCCAUAUUUUU